ACCCUACGGGGGGCAGCAGUGGGGAAUAUUGGACAAUGGGGGAAACCCUUAUCCAGCGACGCCGCGUGAGGGAAGAAGGUUUUCGGAUUGUAAACCUCUGUCAGUGGGGACGAUAAUGACGGUACCUGACUAAGAAGCCCCGGCUAACUACGUGCCAGCAGCCGCGGUAAUACGUAGGGGGCAAGCGUUAUCCGGAUUUACUGGGUGUAAAGGGAGCGUAGACGGUUACGCAAGUCUGGAGUGAAAGGCGGGGGCCCAACCCCCGGACUGCUUUGGAAACUGUAUAACUGGAGUGCAGGAGAGGG
rnacentral:rRNA from 1 species